AGUGGCUGGUAGGAAGAAGCAACAAUGAACUGAAAAAAAGCAGUGCCUAGCUACUGUUUACAGGGUCCAUGGUUUGGAAGCCAGAGUUAUGGGCUGGCCCAGUUCCCCUACCAUCUACAGUGGCAUAAGCCCCAUGAAGGGGAAAAUGCUUAUGGAGAGCUUGAACAAAGGGCAGAAUUUCAAGGACCCAGAGUUGGGGCUGGAGACCUUAGUGAGGGCAACGGGACUGUUCUUGACUAUCCCAGAGGGGUUCAUUUGGACUUUGGGACUUAGCCAGAGGCCUGAGCCACAGAAGACUCACUGAGGUCGGCUGGCAGGGUUCCCCAGGGGUGAGAAAAGGACUGUGGUACCAGACCCAGCCACUAAGAGGCUCUCAAAAGGUCCUAGCACAAUGGGAAUCUGGUCUGUGACUGGGACUAUGAGGCAGUACGGCAAUACAAAUAAUCACAUGCUGAUCUACAGAAAUACUUUUGUACCCUGGCCAUCCCCACUGGCUUAAGAGAUUAGUCACUGAAAAAUGGAAGUAUGUGAACUUGACAUCUGCAGUUUAACUCAGUCCCUUUGUCUCCUGCACUGAGUGUUCUUUCUGCUCAGUACACGCUGUCUGAAUGCACAGGAGAACCGUGAUGGAUGGUGACAAAGCACCGCCCGGCCCCGUGGAAACACUGCCCCCACCAGCGCCGCUCGCCUCGCAGAAACAAACCCUCCUUCCUCAGCGCCACCCCAUCAAAACAGCUGUGGGCCAAAGAGGAAGGUUUGAGGGGGAGUGAGGAGAAAU